rnacentral:misc_RNA from 1 species
GGAUGAAGAACGCAGUGAAAUGCGAUAAGUAGUGUGAAUUGCAGAAUUCAGUGAACCAUCGAAUCUUUGAACGCACAUUGCGCCCCUUGGUAUCCCGAGGGGCAUGCCUGUUCGAGCGUCAUUUCACCACUCAAGCCUGGCUUGGUGUUGGGCGACGUCCCCUUUGGGGACGCGCCUCGAAACGCUCGGCGGCGUGGCACCGGCUUUAAGCGUAGCAGAAUCUUUCGCUUUGGAAGUCGGGGCCCCGUCUGCCGGAAGACCUACUCGCAAGGUUGACCUCGGAUCAGGCAGGGAUACCCGCUGAACUUAAGCAUAUCAAUAAGCGGAGGA